rnacentral:RNase_MRP_RNA from 14 species
UUGUGAGGAAAGUCCCCGGGCACUUCGCCAGAAGAGUC